GACGAACGCUGGCGGCGUGCUUAACACAUGCAAGUCGAACGGUAAGGCCCUUCGGGGUACACGAGUGGCGAACGGGUGAGUAACACGUGGGUGAUCUGCCCUGCACUUCGGGAUAAGCCUGGGAAACUGGGUCUAAUACCGGAUAGGACCACUGCCUGCAUGGGUGGAGGUGGAAAGCUUUUGCGGUGUGGGAUGGGCCCGCGGCCUAUCAGCUUGUUGGUGGGGUGAUGGCCUACCAAGGCGACGACGGGUAGCCGGCCUGAGAGGGUGACCGGCCACACUGGGACUGAGAUACGGCCCAGACUCCUACGGGAGGCAGCAGUGGGGAAUAUUGCACAAUGAGCGCAAGCCUGAUGCAGCGACGCCGCGUGAUGGAUGACGGCCUUCGGGUUGUAAACCUCUUUCAGCACCGACGAAGCGCAAGUGACGGUAGGUGCAGAAGAAGGACCGGCCAACUACGUGCCAGCCGCCGCCGUAA
rnacentral:rRNA from 1 species